AGUCGACUUCCUGUUCAGUCGUCUGGAGAAACUGCACGGCCGGAUAUUGGUGUGUCGCGCCUUGGGAUAUUUUACCUUAGCCAAUAACGAAAUCACCGAGGUGGAGCUUGAUGACGUGUUGUGAUGCGAUGAUGACGUAUUAAAUGACGUCUACACCUACUGGACACCGCCCAUGCGCAGACUGCCCCUCUACUUCUCGUGUGCAUACGGGCGGACAUCGACCAAUAUAUCGAUACUGAGCUUUACUGUUAUUUUCUCGUUUGAAUUUAAUGUUUUACGAACGUCGAACUGAUGAGAAGACAAUGAUGUUAUAUGUACUAUGGCGAUUUAUAUUGGGAUUUCCAAUUCAUUAUCAACAUCGCAUAUUAUUAAAAUUAAGAUAAAGCGGUUAUCGCAACGCGGUUGAACGUCUGCCUUAAGAACUUGUGAUCAUAUAGUUUCGCGACCACUUGAUGCUUUCUGAUUUGUUUUCAGCUGAGAAACACUUUGUUCAACUUUCUUUAAGUGACUUGCUGAUGACUUUUGCAACAGCGGAAGUGGUAAAUUAGCUACAUUCUGCAUGUAAACAGUACAUGUACUACAUACACACUGCGCGUAUUUUUGUAAUGCUCUGUGACUGACUAUAAUUAACAGAUGUGUUGUUUUUUCACCGCAGUUGAGCACGGUGCAGACGGUGCGCGCGUGUUGAACUGGUACCACCGUCAGUUAACGGAAGCUGCGCACGAGCGCUACUGCGCAGAUUAUGCGCAGAAAAGCGUCUCCAUAGCAACCUAGCUGAUUUCUUCGCGGGAACCUGGGCCAAUGGGAGAAAAAGCCGUAUACGAACGCUGAAGGGGAGGUAAUAGAAGAGGACCGCUAUGGGACGUCAAAGCCCUUUCGCUUUCGAGAGGAUGACUACAACAAUCUGGCUCUCAACAAUCUGCCCUAUCAACGCUUGCACGCGGGUCACGUUGACCUUCUCAAGAAGGAUGGUCUCGCCAACGUGCACUUCUGCGUUGCUAAGUUACACGCACUUCCUGUUGAGGCGCUUUUAGACGACUUCACGGCGGCCAAAGCGGCAUUCCCGGGGAAACCCCUGAUCAAGUGCAUUCUGGAGGCGCUUCUGCUCUCCCGGAAGGGGCUGCAGAUGGAUCCGGUUCAGUUCAUGCCUCAGCUACUAGGGCGCCUGGAGGACAACGAGACAACAGCCGAGUUCAAGAGCGCUUUCGUGAAUAUAGCUCAAAAGUGUGGUUCGAGCCCGAUGUCAACAUCCUGGAGCGUCCCGGGGUUCAACUGCUACACAGCAUCCACGUGCACGCGUCCGAAAUUGACAUGAUGAUGAUUACGUCAUGUGGAAAUUACGUAAUCACAGGUGCAUUAUACGUUAUGGCUUAACUUUAUAAAAGAGUUGCUUUUUGUGGGGGGGGGGGGGGGGGGUUUACGAAACUGAAUUAACGUUUUUAGUUUCGCAAUUUUCGACAUGUAUAAAUUGUAAGAGUGUAUAUUUUAUUACAGUUUUGAACUUCUUUAUCAACAUAUAUAAGCGUAAUCGAGGCCACAUAUUUCCAUUACGAUGAAACAAAUAUUGCACGAGAGAGGUCCGUAUUUACCGUUUAAUGGUGUGAUGAAAAAUGAAAUAAUUCACAGUC